CUUCUUUCCAACACGGUUGCCUGUUCCUCGGGGUUUGCCAGCAAAUUAUGAAGUCCUUAUGAGCUCAGUCUGCAGCUGAGUGUUGGGCUGCGUUAGGGUUAGUCCAAGCCCAGGGCUGAUUCAGACGUGGGUUGGAAAUGUCCCAGAGGGAGAGUGAAAAAAUGGGUGUGUGCUUGUGCAGAAAUGAAAAAGCAUCAUUGCUCCUGUCCCUCCCAGUAACUGUCCCAUUGCACUGCCUUGUGUCAGGCUGCUGACGUCUCAGGAAUGUCUGGCUUGCCCUGGCCAUGGGAUGGCAGGCCCAAGGAAGCCUGCCAGGAGCCCAGCUGAAGAAGGCACAUGCUUCCUGUCAGUGUGCAAAAGCACAAAGAUGAGGACAACUUGGAGACAACCAUCGAGGGUGACAAGGGGCUGAGGAGCUGUGAUCUACAAGAGACGGCUGCGUUUAUUCUAGGCCAGGACAGCAGGCAGAGGAGCAUGACUGCAGCCUUCCAGCAUAGAGGAGCUGUCAUGGAAGGGCUGCUACAGGGAGCUGGUCGCAGCUGAGAUGUGCUUUGGAUGUCAGCAAGCAAUGGGUAAUGCCACCUAAUAAAGGCAUUGAGAGUGAAGGUGUUAGGGAAGACUGGGUCUGGAUGAAGAGCAGCUGGGGACACCAUGACAAUCUGGUGUCCCCAGGCCCCAUCCCUGUCCCUAAAGUUAUAUCUACUGCUUCUCCUUGGCAUAAAUAAAGUCUUUCCUUCCCAUUCUGGGCUGUCUGCCCUGCACCACUGGAAAGCUGCAAACAGACCCAUUUUGCGUGUCCAGCUGUGCGUCUUUUUGCCCCAUUUACCUUCCUGCCCCAGCAACCAGAGAGCUGCAGCUCUUUGGGGCCGACUUUGGAGGACUUUGCAGACCGUUAUCUCACGAGGGGUUGUUUUGCUCCAUUCCCUUUUAAAAACAACGAGCACAUGUGGCAUUCUGUGAAGCAGAUGGCUGGCUUGGCGCUCAGACUGCCUAGACCCAUACAUCUCCCAUACACAUACACGUGCUUUCAGCAGUGCUGGGGAUCACGACCUUGCAGAUGGUCUGGGCAAGCUCGGUGUGGGACAGAUAGAUGGAUGGAUGAGAGGAAUGCUCCAGGUCAUUCCAAGUGUUUGGUAUUCCAGGAAUCUGGGGGGAUAAAGGGCUUCGUCUUGGGAGGAUUUGUGAUGAAAUAACUGCAGGAGUUCCAGAGGGGAUGUUUCACACCUGCGCUGAGAGUCAGCAGUGUGUGGACACUGGAAAAGGCUCCAGAGAGGGCAGAGGAGGGGGAAAAGGUGGUUCUGGGGAGCAUCGGGGUCAUGGAUGGGGGUUCAUUUGCUUUUCUCCUCCCCUCUCCCUUUGCGCUUGAGCUUGGCAGCCAGGCAGAGACACCCAGACCAGAUGUCCAAGGCUGCAUGAUAUGACCCUUGGCUGUGCUGAGCAUCAUCUUCCUCUCUGCCCCACUCCCCAGGUCCCCACAUCAGGGUCAUGGCCAGGUUGUCCUGAUCUGGCCCAGAUCCGUGAGGCUGGAUCCAAAAGGAGAGGCCAGCAUGGGAUGCAGCUGAGCAGGCUGCUGUCCAGUGCCUAAUAGGGCCAGGACACCUCAUCUUACCAGCAGAACAAUUAGCCUUUAUUUUGGUAAGAAUUUAGAAAUGCUGCAUAUUUUGCUUUUGCUUUUCCAGUACCUAAUAUCCCCUGUUUAAUGACAUUCCUUCCAAAAUAAAAGAGUCACAGUGCAGCACAGCGGGUGGCUGGGAGGUAGCAUCCAUCCCCAGCCUUCGGUAUGGCUGCAGUGCUUGGUACAAAACCAAGGGCCCUCUUCCCAUCCUCACUGCCAGGGAAAUGAGAUUGCAGGAGCUGGCCAGGACCCAGGGCUAAAUGCAGCUUUGGAAAAGAGUUGAGAAGCUCCUGUAAAUGAGACUCAGGGAAGAAGGCUACUUCCGAGCCAGUCCUGGCAGAGAGGAACCUACCUCUGAAUGGGGCUUUUCCCUCGUGUUUUCCUUCUGGCAUCCUUCUAAUAUGACAGCAAUUAAAAGCCCUGAAAAAAUGGAUGGAAACAAUUUGGAAGAGGUCUCUAUUAGAUUUGCU
ensembl:lncRNA